rnacentral:lncRNA from 13 species
AAUUAUAUCUGUGUGUGUGUGUGUGUGUGUGUGUGUAUAAAUUAUAUUUUUUGUUUUUACUAAUGAAAUAUGGAAGAAUUUCUUCAACAUAUUUUACAAGAAUUCCUUUAAGGUAUAACAGUAACUCAGGAUCAGAUUGGAUGUAACUUUCAAGGCAAUAAAUAUUUUUAUUUUUCUGGUGGUCACAGGCGAAAGAGGAGACAUCGUUCACUGGAUGUUGGAGAAGAGAUGAAAAAAAUAAAGGAGAAGGCAGUUUAGCAACGGGAUGGAGACAAAAAAGAAUCCUGUACUCACGAAAUUCAGGGGAUCUUCGUCCUCCUCUCCCCUUCAUAAAGGAGCGAGGCCUGUCUGAUAGGAACAGGAAGAGUUGGACUCUCACUGGCCAGUAUUUUUCUCUCAGGAAUGGAUGCAGAAUCUUGGCCUCUGCAAUCCCACUGCCCGAACCACUGAAGGAAACCCUGCCUGAGAUUGAAGCCAGCACGGAAGCAGCGGAAUUGAGAAAGGAAGAAAGGUUUUGUUUAUGAAUCUGCCCAAAGGGAUCCCUUGAACUUUCCAAUCAAAUAA